rnacentral:rRNA from 1 species
CCUACGGGAGGCAGCAGUGAGGAAUAUUGGUCAAUGGGCGCGAGCCUGAACCAGCCAAGUAGCGUGAAGGAUGACUGCCCUACGGGUUGUAAACUUCUUUUAUAAAGGAAUAAAGUGAGGCACGUGUGCCUUUUUGUAUGUACUUUAUGAAUAAGGAUCGGCUAACUCCGUGCCAGCAGCCGCGGUAAUACGGAGGAUCCGAGCGUUAUCCGGAUUUAUUGGGUUUAAAGGGAGCGUAGAUGGGUUGGUAAGUCAGUUGUGAAAGUUUGCGGCUCAACCGUAAAAUUGCAAUUGAUACUGGCAGUCUUGAGUACAGUUGAGGUAGGCGGAAUGCGUGGUGUAGCGGUGAAAUGCUUAGAUAUCACGAAGAACGCCGAUUGCGAAGGCAGCUUACUAAGCUGCCACUGACAUUGAGGCACGAAAGUGUGGGUAGCAAACAGGAUUAGAUACCCUUGUAGUC